CCUACGGGAGGCAGCAGUGGGGAAUCUUGCGCAAUGGGCGAAAGCCUGACGCAGCCAUGCCGCGUGAAUGAUGAAGGUCUUAGGAUUGUAAAAUUCUUUCAGUAGGGACGAUAAUGACGGUACCUACAGAAGAAGCCCCGGCUAACUUCGUGCCAGCAGCCGCGGUAAUACGAAGGGGGCUAGCGUUGCUCGGAAUUACUGGGCGUAAAGGGAGCGUAGGCGGGUUAUCAAGUUGGAGGUGAAAGCCCAGGGCUCAACCUUGGAAUUGCCUUCAAAACUGAUAGCCUAGAGUAUGAUAGAGGUAAGUGGAACUCCGAGUGUAGAGGUGAAAUUCGUAGAUAUUCGGAAGAACACCAGUGGCGAAGGCGACUUACUGGAUCAUGACUGACGCUGAGGCUCGAAAGCGUGGGGANCAAACAGGAUUAGAUACCCUGGUAGUCCACGCUGUAAACGAUGAUUGCUAGUUGUCGGACGGCAUGCCGUUCGGUGACGCAGCUAACGCAUUAAGCAAAUCCGCCUGGGGAUACGGUCGCAAGNUUAAAACUCAAAAGGAAUUGAACGG
rnacentral:rRNA from 1 species